UAGGAUGUGGCUCAGUGGCAGAGCAUUUGUUUGGGAUGCGUGAGGCCCUGGGUUCAAUCCCCAACGCCUCAA
rnacentral:tRNA from 1 species